GCUCGGUGUUUGUUAACAGCCGCGGUAAUUUGACCGUGCAAAGGUAGCAUAAUCAUUUGCCCCAUAAUUGGGGGCUAGCAUGAAUGGAUGAACGAGGGCUUAACUGUCUCCUUCUUGAUUUUUGAAUUUGUAGUUAAUGUGAAGAUACAUUAAUUUUUAAAAAAGACAAGAAGACCCUUUUGAGCUUUACUUUUUUUUUUCUUUAUGUUUCUUAAUUAGUUUGGUUGGGGCGACCAAGGAAGAUAAUUUUUAUUUAUUUUAUGUUUGUCUUAAUAAGGAUCUUCCUUUGUUUUUUUUUGAACCAUGCUUUUUGGUUUAUAGAUUAAGUUACCAAAGGGAUAACAGCGUAAUUUUUUUUAAAAGUUCUUAUUAAAAAAAAAGAUUGCGACCUCGAUGUUGACUUAUAAUUUCCUUUUGG
rnacentral:rRNA from 1 species